rnacentral:rRNA from 1 species
AACGAACGCUGGCGGCAUGCCUAACACAUGCAAGUCGAACGAGACCUUCGGGUCUAGUGGCGCACGGGUGCGUAACGCGUGGGAACCUGCCCUUAGGUUCGGAAUAACUCCCCGAAAGGGGUGCUAAUACCGGAUAAUGUCUUCGGACCAAAGAUUUAUUGCCUUUGGAUGGGCCCGCGUUGGAUUAGCUAGUUGGUAGGGUAAAAGCCUACCAAGGCGACGAUCCAUAGCUGGUCUGAGAGGAUGAUCAGCCACACUGGGACUGAGACACGGCCCAGACUCCUACGGGAAGCAGCAGUGGGGAAUAUUGGACAAUGGGCGAAAGCCUGAUCCAGCAAUGCCGCGUGAGUGAUGAAGGCCUUAGGGUUGUAAAGCUCUUUUACCCGGGAUGAUAAUGACAGUACCGGGAGAAUAAGCUCCGGCUAACUCCGUG